rnacentral:lncRNA from 1 species
CGCUUCGUGGAACUUACAUUCCAAGCAGAAGCCCGGUUAGCAACAGCCACACAAAUAACCGUAAUUACAAGUCAGAAUGAACGCAAAGGAGGGAAGCUAGUGACUUAAAUAUUUAAUGCGUUGAAUAAAAACGAGAGUUAAAUAUUUUGUAAUAAAUGUAACAGGCUUUUUAAUCACACAGAUUUCACCCGAGCAGCAGUGGCGCCGGUUUCUGCCCAAGACGCAAGAGCAGACAUGGAAGAUGAGGGUCGAUCUGGUUGCGUGGGGCUUGAGGGGGGCAGACCUCCUUGGAAUUCUGCCCCCUCUCUAGCCUGAGUUAAAUCGAAAAAUUAUGGCUUUAGAUAUUCUGAGGAAGAGUUGGCUGCGAGAGGAGGCGAAGCUCAGAUAAUCUGCCAGCAUUGGAAGGAGGACCCACAGGGUGAACAAAGCAGUAGCUGGACCAGAAGAAGUAAUGCUGAUAAGUCCCUACAGCGAUUUGCAAGAAUCUUGGCUACUUCACUCAUCCCAAGAAGGUCUCAAGGGGUCGUGAUAUCAGCUAAUACCUACAAGGUCCUGGCUACAACUUAAGUGAGAUCCUACUUAGUUGUUCAAGACACUGUACUAAAUGCUUUAUAUACGUUAUGUAUCUCCCAUAAUUGUUCUAAUACUAUUAUCAUAUCUCCACUUCACAGAUGAAGAAUUAAGGACAAGACAGUGACUUGCUCAAUGAGCUCCACUCCCAGCCCAGCUUUGUACAGUUGUGAAUAAAAUGAGAUCAAAUAG